UUUUUGCACUUAAAGCAAGACAUGUUGGACUUGUCCCCUUUUCUUGUUAUUGGACUUAUUCUUAUUGGAGUGCUAACUAUGUCCAUCAUCACACUUUUCCAAGUCUUUCUUCAAACUAGUGACUUGGGCCUUGAGCUUAUUAAUUUCUUCUACAUGGUUAGUUUCAACACUGGAAACAAGAGGACUAGUGGAAGUAGAAACUUCAUGGUUAGAGCAACAAGACAAUGCGAGGAGUUCAUCAUGAUUGGUAAUAAUAUGAGAGUUGGAUGAAUUGCAAGGAUUAGCACAUGGCAAUAAAACAUUUAGAGUAGAUGUGCUAAUGUACACAUGAGACUCGCAAAAUUUUACCUUGGUGACCAUAGUCUCAAGUUCCUGAGAGAUUUUCAUGACUUUCUUCCAAUUUCCCAUAAUUGUUGGUUAGCAAAUCAAGUUGAUCACAUAACUCAACAUUCUCCUUGAAAGUUGAUGCUUCACACGAGGUAGAGUUAGAUGCGCAAGUAUCAUCGACAAUAUGAGAGGAGCAAGUAGCUAUUAGAGA
rnacentral:lncRNA from 1 species